AUGUUCAAACGUUAUUUUGCCCUACAGGGUCCAAGAGGACCAUCUGGACAAAAGGGUGAGAAAGGAGCGGAUGGAGUGGACGGGAAGGAUGGCCUUGUGGUUUGUUUGUUUUGUACCUCUUACUCAACACACAGUCCCCACAUUAUUAAAUGUUUAACAAGAGUAUCACGCUGUAAACUUACAAACAGAAAAACAAGGCUAUCAAGGCCUCGUAAAGUGUGAGUGAGCAAUUAAACAGGGAUGCAGGCUUCGCCCUCACAGGUCUCCCUUUAUAUACACCCAUAUUCCAGAAUUAUUAGAGGGGUUGAGACGAAAACAAGAUGAGAAUGAAAUACAGACGAAGGAUGGCCCAGCCCAUGCUGAAGGCUGUUAGUAUUAUGUAACACCUGUACCUUCUUCCAUAGGCUCUGGACCUAUUAUACAGUACAGAGCAAUGCUUUUGUCCAUCCCCGUGAGGCACUAUAUGGAGCAUAAUAGGGUGCCAAAAAAUGAUCUUAAAACCGAGCCAGGUGCUGUAUGGUGGAUAUGAGCCAGAUGAAUCAUAUAGGUGUUUUAUAGACUAAAUGUUCAGCACUAAAGCCUCAUGGUCACAUCCCUUUAGAUCCCCCCCCCCCCCCCUGGGAUAUUUGACAGGAAGUUCCUUAACUAUGAAAAGGAUAAAGAAAAACUAUUUUACUUCAUAAAUCGAAUUGCGCUAAUGGAAAAUUAUGUCAUCACUAAUAAGCAUAUGUUAUCAUUGUCUGUUUCUAUACUUUUUGUCUGUACACUGGUUUUUCUGAGAAAAAAAAUAUAUUUAAAAUAUAUAUAUAAAUAAAUAAAUAAAUAAAAGUCAAAUAAUAAUAAAAAUAUUUUCAAAAAAAUGAUUAAAAUUGAAGAUUUAGCUUAAAGGCAGUCCCCACCCCCACCUCCACCUCCACCCCGGGUCCUGAAUCCCUUGACAUGUUUCUCAGACCAGAGCAGAUGUUUUUCAGAGCAGAUAACUGUGUAGUAGGCCCAGAUUACAAAGUACAUAAUCGAGUUCUGUUUCUCUGGAAACCUUCAGUGAGGUCACUCAUGUUCGUAUUAUUCUUUGAAAUGUGCAGUAAACUCCCACAUCGCCCUCUCUCUUUCUCUCUCUGUAGGGGGACUCUGGGGUUAUAGGCCUGCCUGGUUGUAAAGGAGACGAGGGGGCAGAGGUAAGUCUAUAGGAGUGAUGCAAGGUCAUGUAGCCAGAGUCAAAGUCAUCACAUUCUGCUUGUCUUGUUUCCUACUGCUUUUCCUUUUCUUCACAGUCUUUCCAGACUGAUCACCACCAGCCCUCCUUAGUCCCACUUCCACACUCCCCCUUUAAAA
rnacentral:lncRNA from 1 species